GUGUUCACUUCGGCAGCACAUAUACUAAAAUUGGAACCAUAUAGAUAAGAUUAGCAUGGCCCCUGCGCAAGGAUGACAUGCAAACUCGUGAAGUGUUCCAUAUUCUA
rnacentral:snRNA from 1 species